UAGGGAAUCUUCCACAAUGGACGCAAGUCUGAUGGAGCAACGCCGCGUGAGUGAAGAAGGUUUUCGGACCGUAAAGCUCUGUUGUUGGUGAAGAAGGAUAGAGGUAGUAACUGGCCUUUAUUUGACGGUAAUCAACCAGAAAGUCACGGCUAACUACGUGCCAGCAACCGCGGUAAUACGUAGGUGGCAAGCGUUGUCCGGAUUUAUUGGGCGUAAAGCGAGCGCAGGCGGAAGAAUAAGUCUGAUGUG
rnacentral:rRNA from 1 species